GAUGAACGCUGGCGGCGUGCCUAAUACAUGCAAGUCGAGCGAACAGACGAGGAGCUUGCUCCUCUGACGUUAGCGGCGGACGGGUGAGUAACACGUGGAUAACCUACCUAUAAGACUGGGAUAACUUCGGGAAACCGGAGCUAAUACCGGAUAAUAUAUUGAACCGCAUGGUUCAAUAGUGAAAGACGGUUUUGCUGUCACUUAUAGAUGGAUCCGCGCCGCAUUAGCUAGUUGGUAAGGUAACGGCUUACCAAGGCAACGAUGCGUAGCCGACCUGAGAGGGUGAUCGGCCACACUGGAACUGAGACACGGUCCAGACUCCUACGGGAGGCAGCAGUAGGGAAUCUUCCGCAAUGGGCGAAAGCCUGACGGAGCAACGCCGCGUGAGUGAUGAGGGUCUUCGGAUCGUAAAACUCUGUUAGUAGGGAAGAACAAAUGUGUAAGUAACUAUGCCCGUCUUGACGGUACCUAGUCAGAAAUCCACGGCUAACUACGUG
rnacentral:rRNA from 1 species